rnacentral:rRNA from 1 species
AUGCUCAGUACGGCGAGUGAAGCGGCAACAGCUCAAAUUUGAAAUCUGGCCGCAAGGUCCGAGUUGUAAUUUGUAGAGGAUGCUUUUGGCGAGGUGCCUUCCGAGUUCCCUGGAACGGGACGCCAUAGAGGGUGAGAGCCCCGUACGGUCGUGCCACCGAGCCUCUGUAAAGCUCCUUCGACGAGUCGAGUAGUUUGGGAAUGCUGCUCUAAAUGGGAGGUGUACGUCUUCUAAAGCUAAAUACCGGCCAGAGACCGAUAGCGCACAAGUAGAGUGAUCGAAAGAUGAAAAGCACUUUGAAAAGAGGGUUAAAAAGUACGUGAAAUUGUUGAAAGGGAAGCAUUCAUGACCAGACUUGGGCUUGGUUGAACAUCCGGCGUUCUCGCCGGUGCACUCUGCCAGCUCAGGCCAGCAUCAGUUUGCCCCGGGGGAUAAAGGCGGCGGGAAUGUGGCUCCCCUCGGGGAGUGUUAUAGCCCGUCGUGUAAUGCCCUGGGGCGGACUGAGGUUCGCGCUUCGGCACGGAUGCUGGCGUAAUGGUCAUCAAUGACCCGUCUUGAACCACGGACCA